GGCCGCCGUCACUUUACCAGCAGAAGAAACACUCUGUAAAUAGAAAAAUACAGAGUGAUAGUACUGGAUUUUGUUAUAGAGAGAGGAGAAAUGAGUCUCACCGGAGUAACAUUGUUGGUCACACUCAUGGUGGUGGCCGCCGUCACUUUACCGGCAAAUGCCUGUCUGCCGGCGGACCAAGCAGCAUUGAUGGAUAUCAAAGCAGCUCUUAAGGAGCCAUAUUUGGGCAUUUUCAACACAUGGACCGGCAGCAACUGUUGCCAGGGCUGGCAUGGUGUUAGUUGUGACCCGACUACUCAACGGGUUGCAGACAUUGUUCUUCGGGGAGAAUCCGAAGAUCCGAUUUACGAGAAAGCCGGCCGGUCUGGUUACAUGACAGGUUCACUCUCCCCUUCUCUCUGCAAACUAGACAAGCUCACUACACUCAUCGUCGCCGACUGGAAAGAUAUCUCCGGCGAAAUUCCGGCUUGUGUCACUUCAUUACCAGAUCUCCGAAUCCUUGAGCUCAUCGGCAACAAAAUCACCGGUCAAAUACCGGAAAACAUCGGUCAGCUGAGUAAACUCACUGUUCUAAACCUCGCCGAUAAUAAAAUCUGCGGUUCAAUUCCUGCCUCCAUUGUCAACCUCGGAAAACUAAAGCACCUCGAACUCAGCAACAAUCAACUCACCGGCGAAAUCCCGUCCGAUAUCGGAAAACUCGGAAUGAUGAGCCGAGCACUACUCAACAAAAACAAACUUACAGGUUCAAUCCCUAACUCAAUCACUCAACUUCGCCGGUUAGCCGAUCUAGAUCUAUCAAUGAACCAAAUCACCGGUUCACUCCCAGCUCAGCUCGGUUCAAUGCCGGUUCUCUCCACUCUAAACCUCGAUUCCAACCAAAUCACCAGUUCAAUCCCCACAAAUCUACUUAGCAGCAGCGGAUUAAACAUCUUAAACUUAAGCAGAAACUUAUUAGAAGGAGAAUUACCAGAUGUAUUUUGCACAAAAACGUACUUCACACAUCUGGAUUUAUCAUACAAUAAUCUUCGAGGUUCAAUUCCAAAAUCAUUAUCAUCAGCUAAGUUCAUUGGUCAUUUGGAUUUAAGCCAUAAUCACCUUUGUGGCUCGAUUCCAAACGGGUCACCCUUCGAUCAUCUAGAAGCUUCUUCUUUCUCUAAUAAUGAUUGUUUGUGUGGAUCGCCAUUACGUACUUGUUAAUUCUUUUUGUUUACUUACUAAGUUUGUAAUUAAUCGAAAUUAUCGGUUGAUUACGCAUAAAUGGAUAUGUAAUUGUGUAUUAUGUUGUGUCAUGAUAAAAAAAAAAAAAAUCUUAUUCUGUUUAUAUUAAUUAUUAUUAUUAUUAUUGCUAAGCAAUAUAAAGGGUUAUGCGGUUGUAUCAUGCAUGCACGUGAAAACGCGUGACAGUUU
rnacentral:misc_RNA from 1 species